GACAGCUGUAGCCUCUGUUCGGUUGCAAAGACUCUUAAGGACUAAACGAAAUAAGCUUGAGAACUUCGUUCUGUCUGAGAUCCGGCCAACAGAUCUUCCGCUUCCUUCCCCCGGAAUCUAAGACGUUAUACGAUUUUCCACAAGGGCGACCUUCAGCUACAUGGACCUCAAAACGCGAUACGCCAGUUCUGUAUAUUUGCCUUUGCUGCGCUGCAGCGUUAAAUCUUAUCGAGGGCGGGCUAUGAUGUUUACGAAAUUAACUACUUAAUUUUCUAUGCUCGUAUUAUAAAACGCGAUACGUUACUUCGAUCACGCAUCGAGAAAUUCAGCAGCACAAUCCAAUUAUAGUCAUAACAUAAAUUAAUGACGACUCCUAACAAUUAGUCAUAUUUGAUUUCCGGCAAUCUACUUGAAAUUCAUUUAGAAUAGGCGAUCUGUUCCUACAUAAAAUCCAUAGUACAGAUAAAGCCGUAUCCUAAUAUUCGAUAAAUUAAAUCCUCCGAUAUCAUACUGACAAGUCAACUCCCAUUUUUUUGAAGUGUCUGACCGAUUUUAUACAUCAUAUGGAAUGUGGCAAGUUUUAUCAAGCCACUUGCCCAUAGCAAUUAUAUGUGAUGUCUUGAUGAUAUUUUGCGAACUGAUAUCCACAUUAUAGAAGAAGCAUUAUUUAUAUUUAGUAAUUAAUAACAAUCCGUAGUUGAUAUUAUUCGAUAAAUCAUCACCUCGUACAAUCCCCAGUGGCGCAAUUGGUUAGCGCACGGUACUUAUAAGACAGUGUUCGUGAGCAAUGCCGGGGUUGUGAGUUCGAGCCUCACCUGGGGAAUUAUUUUUUAAUCCUUUCUAUCCUCCUGCUUAAUUCAAAGAACAUAGCAAUCAAUAACAACAUGUAUUUAUUCAAGAGAAUAAGGGUGAAAUAAUAUUAAAAA